rnacentral:lncRNA from 1 species
UUACAAGAACUUCGUCUAUAAAAAAAGAUAAGGAAAAUAGGACUGGUAAGCCACUUCUGGUUAGAACUCUGCUAUUCUAAAUAUUGACAUCUACUGUUCACCAACUUCUCUCUCUAACUUAAGUAUUAGAGGAUCUCCGUCGGACAUAAAUCUGAUUAGUGCGGAUAUUAUCUUGCAGGUAUUUAUUUUCGAUGACAGAUGAUGGGGAGUUGAUCACAAC